CAAACGCGAAAACGUGUUAUGACAUGCAGUCUUUGUGAAGCAACAACUCUUUGAACGCACCUUGCACCCGUCUUUUUCGAAAGGGGGUAUACUUGUUUGAGCAACGCGACGAACUCGCGCACACUGUGUAUGUGGGCAGCGGAGGUGAGAGGGCGAGCGUGUACGUACGCAGCGCCGUCUUGAAAGGGAGCGGGGCGAGGGCGCGCACGCUGCAGGCACGUGUUGUCGGGAUAAAGCAUUCGCUGACGACGCACACGCGUGCGUGCAGAUGGCGCACUCGCCUACCACACUUGUUCUUUAUUCACCGUUCUCAAAUCAAGCAAGACGACCCGCUGAACUUAA
rnacentral:misc_RNA from 1 species